ACGAACGCUGGCGGCGUGCCUAAUACAUGCAAGUAGAACGCUGAAGAGAGGAGCUUGCUCUUCUUGGAUGGGUUGCGAACGGGUGAGUAACGCGUAGGUAACCUGCCUUGUAGCGGGGGAUAACUAUUGGAAACGAUAGCUAAUACCGCAUAACAAUGGAUGACACAUGUCAUUUAUUUGAAAGGGGCAAUUGCUCCACUACAAGAUGGACCUGCGUUGUAUUAGCUAGUAGGUGAGGUAAUGGCUCACCUAGGCGACGAUACAUAGCCGACCUGAGAGGGUGAUCGGCCACACUGGGACUGAGACACGGCCCAGACUCCCACGGGAGGCAGCAGUAGGGAAUCUUCGGCAAUGGGGGCAACCCUGACCGAGCAACGCCGCGUGAGUGAAGGAGGUUUUCGGAUCGUAAAGCUCUGUUGUAAGUCAAGAACGGGUGUGAGAGUGGAAAGUUCACACUGUGACGGUAGCUUACCAGAAAGGGACGGCUAACUACGUG
rnacentral:rRNA from 1 species